AUGAGAAAUUUAGACAGCUCUGUCAGAAGAGAUCACUGUCCAUUAAGUGGAAGUGGUGGACAAGGGGAGAAACAGUUGGUGUUUUCAAGUAAGAGUACCAGAAAGGCAGAAAGGAGAGACCUACUUAAAUAAAGAAGAAGAAAAAAUGUGUUUGAGUAUCUUUUGGAUUAUUGCUAAAUAUUACCUUGUACAUAUUGAGAAUGAGAUUCCACAGUGGCGAUCCAAGAACAACUAUCAUGGAGCAAUAAGCUGGAGAACAAGAGUUUGUGAAAUCCUGGGAGAUGCUGGAGUCUCAAUUAGCCACAGAAAAGAGAUAUUGUUGAAAACCUGAGUAUAGCUAGAGUUGCGUUAGAGUAAUAACUAUCCUUUCUGUACUCUAAAAAGUUUAGAAAAGAAGGUCUGGAUGAGUCAAGUUUAUGCAAAAGUAAGUUAACUAUCUGAAAAUACUUUUUAAAAGAAAACGUACCCGUUCAAAAUAUCCAGUGUACAAUAAUGACAUUAAUAGAUAUUCAAAAUAGCAAGAAGUGUAACACACAACUAUGAGAAAAACCAAUCAGUAGAAACAGAACCAAAAAUUAAGAUGGUAGUAUUGUCAGUCAAGGACUUUAAAAUAUAUAUUUAAAAGAUAUUCAAGAAUUUAAAGGAGCCAGGUGUGAUGAUUCAUUCCUGUAAUCACAGCGGUUUGAAAGGCCAAGGUGGGAGGAUCCACUGAGGCCAGGGUUUCAAGACCAGCCCUGGAAACAUAGUGAGCCUGGUGACAAGUGCCUGCAGUCCCAGAUGUGGGAGGAUCACUUGAGUUAGAGGCUGCAUGCAGCAAACUAUAAACGCACUCUUUCACUACAUGCUGGGCAACAAAGUGAGACCCCAUUUCUAAAAAAGAAAAAAAAAAAGAAUUUAAAGAAAAGCAUGAAUAGAGUGAUUAUAGAAAUAGAAGAUAUUGUAAUUCAAAACAUAACAUUUCCAGAUCUCAAACAGUAAUACCUGAAAUGAAAAAAAAUUCCUCAACAGGCUUAAUAUCAAACUGUAUAAUAUAGAAGAAAAUGUUUCAAUGAAAAAGAGGGCAUUUGAAGCCUUUGAAAUUGAAAUAUCAAGGGGGGAAAGGCAGAAAAAAAGGAAACUAAAGGGAGACUCAGUCACUUGUGGGAGAAUAGCUAGUAGUUCAAUAUCUCUGUAAUUGGAGUUCUUUAAGGGGGCGGGGGCAGAAGAAAUAUUUGAAUAAAUGAUUUUUUAAAACUUCCAGACUCAAUGAAGAAAAUUAACUCAUAAA
rnacentral:lncRNA from 10 species